GUCCCCUUGGUCUAGUGGUUAGGACACCGCCCUUUCACGGCGGCAGCACGGGUUCGAGUCCCGUAGGGGACGCCA
rnacentral:tRNA from 1 species